rnacentral:lncRNA from 1 species
CUGGAAUGACAGAUAGGGGACAAUUCUGCCGCUUGACAAUAAUUGUUCUCCUAAUUACAGCAAUGACAUUUACUGGAAAGCCACUGCAAUCCCAUUACCUUCUUAUGCUAAAUUCGGUGACUUUAAAAUUGCAUUCCCUGUCUCCUCCUCCUGGUAUUUAUCCCUCUGGAUACAGGCGUGUUCACCUGCAGCACGGGGUGUCAGGGAUGCUCCUGGAGGGCCCUGAAGGAGAUGCUAUUCGUUUGGGCUUGGGUCAGGUUUUUUGAGGGGGAUUGAUUCUUUUUCCUGUCUUAUCCUGCAUUUUCUACCUCAUCAUCUGGAUGGGAGAUGCUGGAAUAUUCAAGUGGCUGGGGAGGUGACAACACCCCAGGCACUGCCACCCCAGAAUUAAUCCAUUGCAUUAAUCCAUCACCCCCAGCAGAACAGAGGACACCAGGCAGGAGGAGUUUGACAGCAGUAUUUCUUUUUCUGUAUUGCAGGUAGCUCCCUCAAGCCUGAACAUCCUCAUUCUCCCUCAUCACUAAGAGAAAGGGAAUGUUGUGCUGCAGAGACCUUCUCCAGGGAAGUUUGGAAAACACCAGGGACAAGCACGAGGUUCUGGGCUGCAGCCACAGGGAACAGUCCUGCUGCUUCCCACUGCUUCUUCCAGAUGUUCCUCGGCUCUACCAACUUCAUUUGGGGUCUCCCUUCAACGUCCCCCCAAGGUGCUGCACCCUGACUCGGCAGGACAAAGUCUUGGAGGCCUCUGAGGCUUCUGGAUAUCUUUGGUGUGUGUUGGCACAAAGGCAGUCCAGCCAGGACAGAUUCUCCUUGUG